rnacentral:rRNA from 1 species
AGCGAUGAGAUCCCUUCGGGGAAGGAUUAGCGGCGAACGGGUGAGGAACACGUGAGGAAUCUGCCUUCAACACUGGGAUAACUCCGGGAAACCGGGGCUAAUACCGGAUACGAGACCUGCAGGCAUCUGCGGGUCUGGAAAGUUUUUCGGUUGAAGAUGACCUCGCGGCCUAUCAGCUUGUUGGUGAGGUAAUGGCUCACCAAGGCGACGACGGGUAGCCGGCCUGAGAGGGCGACCGGCCACACUGGGACUGAGACACGGCCCAGACUCCUACGGGAGGCAGCAGUGGGGAAUAUUGGGCAAUGGAGGGAACUCUGACCCAGCGACGCCGCGUGCGGGAUGAAGGCCUUCGGGUUGUAAACCGCUUUCAGCAAGGAAGAAGCGAAAGUGACGGUACUUGCAGAAGAAGCACCGGCUAACUAUGUGCCAGCAGCCGCGGUAAUACAUAGGGUGCAAGCGUUGUCCGGAAUUAUUGGGCGUAAAGAGCUCGUAGGUGGUUCGUCACGUCGGAUGUGAAAAUCUGGGGCUUAACCCCAGACCUGCAUUCGAUACGGGCGAGCUAGAGUGUGGUAGGGGAGACUGGAAUUCCUGGCGUAGCGGUGGAAUGCGCAGAUAUCAGGAGGAACACCAAUGGCGAAGGCAGGUCUCUGGGCCAUUACUGACACUGAGGAGCGAAAGCGUGGGGAGCGAACAGGAUUAGAUACCCUGGUAGUCCACGCCGUAAACGGUGGGCACUAGUUGUGGGAACCUUCCACGGUUUCUGCGACGCAGCUAACGCAUUAAGUGCCCCGCCUGGGGAGUACGA